ensembl:snRNA U6 U6 spliceosomal RNA
GUGCUCGCUUCGGCAGCUCAUAUAUGAAACUUAGAACGAUGCAGAGAAGAUGAGCGUGGCCCCUGCGCAAGGAUGACACGCAAAUUUGUGACUCGGUCCAUAUUUUU